rnacentral:rRNA from 1 species
CCUACGGGUGGCAGCAGUGGGGAAUAUUGGGCAAUGGGCGGAAGCCUGACCCAGCGACGCCGCGUGAGGGAAGACAGCCUUCGGGUUGUAAACCUCUGUUGCAGGGGAAGAAGGACGUGACGGUACCCUGCGAGGAAGCUCCGGCUAACUACGUGCCAGCAGCCGCGGUAAUACGUAGGGAGCGAGCGUUGUCCGGAAUUACUGGGCGUAAAGGGCGCGUAGGCGGCGCUUCAAGUCGUCUGUCAAAAGCCGAGGCUCAACCUCGGUGCGCAGACGAAACUGGAGAGCUUGAGAAGCAGAGAGGCAAACAGAAUUCCUGGUGUAGCGGUGAAAUGCGUAGAUAUCAGGAAGAAUACCAGUGGCGAAGGCGGUUUGCUGGCUGCAUACUGACGCUGAAGCGCGAAAGCCAGGGGAGCAAACGGGAUUAGAUACCCCGGUAGUC